CGUUUUCCUGCCUCUGCCUCCCAAGUGCUGGGAUUAAAGGUGUGCGCCGCAGCUACCACCGACACCAGCACGGCCCGUCUCCAAAAUAGUUUUCGAAACUGGUUUUUCAUGCCGGUUUUGAAUUAAGGUCAGUAGUUGCAAAAAUUGAACAUUAGGUGAUGCUCAAUUGUCUUAACAUAGAAAUACUAUUUUAAUUGUUGAGAUGGUUGCUUGUCUCAACUAGUGUGAAUAGGAAAUUUCCCAAACAAAGAAAAGAUUGUUUUAAUCAUGUGCGUAGAAUAUUUUUACCCAACAGAAAGAUGGUAUUGGAGUAUUGCUUUUUUUUUUCAGGAGUCUUACUCACAUAAGCUACAAUUUUGAGUACUUUAUAAACACACAAAACAUAGGCAAGUGAAAAUAUAAAUUUUACAGAGCAAAAGUAUAAAUUAAUGCUUUUUCGGGCUUUCCCUAAACUUGAGAGGAAAUGAGGGGAUAACAAACUUAUGCCUGACAUAAUGGCAUGGCCUGUGACCCUGCGCAGAAGGGCAGGGCAGGAGGAUCAGGAGUUCUGCAUGUUUUCAGAAACUGGUUUUUAAUGCCAAUUUUGAAGAAAUGUCUCAAAAACAACGUUCAUAAAAAGAUGUUUUCUUAUUUCUGAAUCAAAGAGCUAUAGCCGAAAAAGUAGUGUGUCGCAGAGGAUCUUGUCGUCUGGUUUUACAUUAGGAACAAGUUUACCGUGGGGAGGGUCCAGGGGAAUCCCAUUUUCUUUCUACUGGGAAAUUAGGUUUGCUCUUAUUUAGGAGUUCUAAGACUAGGAGCUGAGCUAGUCGGAACUCACUAGACAUGCUGAAAUCAUUUGGGUUUCAAACCAAGAUCCAUCCUGCAGCAUGCGGACCUUGUAUUUUGCUAGCAGCCAGAAAGCUUUUCGUUCAUGAAAACUGACACACAAAGGAAUGCGCCUUUCACGUGGUUUCACAAACAAGGAGAUCUGCUCUAAUUAUUUCCUAACUAUGACUUCAUCUCCUCGGUUUGCACACUCUGCCUCAAAAGCCGAGGUACCAUAAAAACAUUGGGAAAGACACAGUGGUGCAGUGUAUAUUUCUUCUUCUGUGGAGUUCCUCCGUGUUUAUCUUGGCAGACUGCAUCUGAGAACAAGGCUGCCAAUAGCCUCGCAGCGUUUGCUGAGCAAUUGUCUUCCUUAGUAAUUAGACCUCUGUACCUUAAAAGUGUUUCACCAGCUGGAUGUAGCGUACCCCUGGGAUCCCAGCUCUGGGGGAUUUGUCAUUGAAUAGUAGCUAGGGCUACAUAAGGCACUGGCUCAAAAACAACAAUAGAAACCAUUUUUGCUCAAUUUGCAUAUAUAUAGAUUACUCUAUGAGCAGUGCUUUGCUUCUGCUUAGGUGAUACAGCUCGAGUCUUGAUUUUCUAUUUUCUGUAACAAACAAGAUUUGAAAUGAUUUUAGAAAUUAGACAAUGACCCCACUUCCUAUCUCUUCUGGUGGUUUUCUCUUUUCUUCUUCUUCUUCCCUAAAGCAGCAUUAUUGAGUGCUUUUGCAUCCUGGAAGAUCUGGAGACAUUGAUUUAAAAUAGUUGAAUGCAGUUGUAUUAAUACAGUAUACAAAUGCUACCUGGAAGAGUUCUUUGAUGUGUAUUUGGUGUGGGAAUCAUACAGUGUCACAAAUCCAGUUUUAGUUCUAAUAAGGAAUGGAAAUAGUCUUUAAGGAAAUUAUUUGGUUUCUUUAUUUUUGGUUCCUAUAGUAUAGCUCCAAGCAGCACCUAGGAAGAAUAAUAAAAUGUUUGAAAUCGAAGAAUAAUGGUUUUUUGUUUUGUGGAGGGGAGGAUUGUUUUGGUUUUGAGGGUGGAGUUUUUUUUUUGUUGUUGUUGUUUUUUGUUUUGGUUUGGUUUUAUUUUUUUGAGACAGGAUCUCAUGUACCGCCAGGCUGGCCUUAAAAUACCAAUAGCUAACUAAGGCCAGCCUCAAAUUCUGAUCCUCUGCCUUUACCUCCCAAAUGCUGGGGUUUCAAGUGUGUACAAGCUCACCCAACUAGACUAAUACCUCUUCCUAUUAAGAUGAUGUAACAAGUUAGUCCUAAUCAAUCUCAUAGGCUCAUGCCAAGUUCUUGGUGUGAUUCCCCAACACCCAUAAACAGAGCAGUUUGAUAGGGUUGUAUUUUUCCUGUAGUUUAUUCCAGUUGAGCAUGAACAAUGUGUGUUGCUAAAGUGGCGGUGUAACCACACCAAGUGUCUGUAAAAUGACUUGCCAGCAUUUAGCCAUUUGCCUGUUGAAUCUUUCUUAACCAUCUUUUAAGGGAACCACUUUAGGAGAUUACAAGUAUUCAUGAUAGGGAUUUUUUUUAUACUUUAUUGGAGAGUAGCCAUUGGUUUACUCAUCCCAUGUAUGGAAUUGUGGCUGUAAGUUGUCGCUUAAAAAAUUCCGUGACUUGUAACGUUACUUAAUCUGGAUUAUCUUAGUAAUAAACUUUAAAUUACUAUGCUAAACAACAUCUUGAAUAGAAAUUGUCAGUGUUGACUACAGAGUAACUGAAUAAUCAUAUAGGUAGUAGCAUGUUUUAAAUAGCUAGAUUUCUACUCAUUUUGUAUUCUGUUCAAAUAUAAUGAUGUUCACUAUAAACUGUAGCUUUUCAGGUAAAGUAUCAGAAUGAAGACAGUUCAUAAAGAUUAAAAAGGAUUUGUAUCUAUAUGAUAUUCAUCCUGCUCAGUAAAGAUAAGUUUCAUUUAUAUACUGAUAGGACUCCCUUGGACUUUUGCACACUACCUUCAAGUUUACAGUUUACCUUAAACCAUCAUUUUCCAUCCUUGUUCAGAAAAAGAACAAAAUCUGAAUUAAGUUGUAUUCCAAGUGUAUGGAAACACUAGACUGAGCAAUUGAGAGACUGUACUGGACACCUACCAGGUUCUUGAGAGACAGACAGUGUGCUAGAAAUAGAAAAGAAUAUGGGCACUGGGCCCAGAAUUAUUGGAGGGCUAAUAACAGACAUUUGUAUGCAUGACACACUUGGCAUCUACUUUUCACAUGGGAAUCCAGGACUGUAAGAAGAUGCAUGUCUCCUGUAUUCCCUAUGUAACAUAUCUUUUGCUUGCAGUCUUUUUCAUUCCUAUGAUAGAAGGGACAUGUAGAAUAUAUAUUUGUAUUAUGUGGACACUACAAUGGCUGCCACACCAUCUUUAUUUAAUUCAGCAGGUAGGAGUCUCAAAAGUUGCUUGAAGCUAUUUUAUAGAAUCCCAACUGCUCUAUAUUUCUUCAGAGAAAGUUUAUAGUCACUAAUAAAGCUGGCUAUGGUGACGUGUCGUUUUUAUGCUUUAACGAGUUCUUUUGCCAUAGGUUCUUUUUCCAUCAUGUGGAACAAUGUAAAGAAAUCAGAUGCAAAGUACAAUUAGAAAAUAAAACACAAAAAC
rnacentral:lncRNA from 1 species